GACGAACGCUGGCGGCGUGCUUAACACAUGCAAGUCGAACGGAAAGGCCUGCUUUCCCUUGUGGAUUGCGGGUACUCGAGUGGCGAACGGGUGAGUAACACGUGAGUGAUCUGCCCCCAACUUGGGUAUAAGCCUGGGAAACUGGGUCUAAUUCCCGAUAGGACUGCAGGGUGGUGCCUGUGGUGGAAAACGAUUUUCUAGUGGUUGGGGAUGAGCUCGCGGCCUAUCAGCUUGUUGGUGGGGUAAUGGCCUACCAAGGCGGCGACGGGUAGCCGGCCUGGGAGGGUGGACGGCCACAUUGGGACUGAGAUACGGCCCAGACUCCUACGGGAGGCAGCAGUGGGGAAUAUUGCACAAUGGGCGGAAGCCUGAUGCAGCGACGCCGCGUGGGGGAUGACGGCCUUCGGGUUGUAAACUCCUUUCGACCGCGAGGAAGCCACCUGGUUGGAGGGGUGGUGACGGUAGUGGUAGAAGAAGCACCGGCUAACUACGUG
rnacentral:rRNA from 1 species